UUUAGCCUUCCCACUAACACCAAAUGUACCCAUAGGCUUAAAAUUCACUCAAAUAAGGUACAGCCUAUUUGAAACAGGACACAACCUGCAACAGAGGGUAAUACAUAAACUAACGUGACCAAGUAGGCCUAAAAGCAGCCACCUUUUAAAAAGCGUUACAGCCUUAUCACAUUGUAUCAUUAAUUCCAACCUUAGCCCAAAACCCCUUACCUAUACUGAAUGACCCCAUACCUCUAUGGAAGCCAUUAUGUUAAAACUAGUAACAAGAAUAUUUAUUCUCCCAUAAAUGUAAGUGUAAGCCGAAAUGGACCACCCAUCGGCACUUACCGCCAAUGAACCCACAGUAAUAACCCCCCCCCCAGAAAACCCUACUUCCACCAG
rnacentral:rRNA from 1 species